AUUGAACGCUGGCGGCAGGCCUAACACAUGCAAGUCGAACGGUAACAGGAAGCAGCUUGCUGCUUUGCUGACGAGUGGCGGACGGGUGAGUAAUGUCUGGGAAACUGCCUGAUGGAGGGGGAUAACUACUGGAAACGGUAGCUAAUACCGCAUAACGUCGCAAGACCAAAGAGGGGGACCUUCGGGCCUCUUGCCAUCGGAUGUGCCCAGAUGGGAUUAGCUAGUAGGUGGGGUAACGGCUCACCUAGGCGACGAUCCCUAGCUGGUCUGAGAGGAUGACCAGCCACACUGGAACUGAGACACGGUCCAGACUCCUACGGGAGGCAGCAGUGGGGAAUAUUGCACAAUGGGCGCAAGCCUGAUGCAGCCAUGCCGCGUGUAUGAAGAAGGCCUC
rnacentral:rRNA from 1 species